UAAGUCUCAGCGAGACUUCCGCUCAGUCUCUCAGUCUGGUGAAGAACUUUGCUCUGCGGACGAGCCCUAGCUGGUGUCUGCUGACGCAUAUUGACGAUGAAAAUCACAUGACAGCGCUCGCUCCGUGGGCUCAAAACAGACAUGCCCACAUCUUGACCUACAACCAUGUCCAAGUGGCAGCUCUGGGAUGGAGCUGCUGACGGUGCUGCCUCUGGGACUGCAGGUGGAGCCCCUAGAGGCUGCUCAGUGAGGGGCUCGCAUCAUGCUGCUGACUGAAGGAGCCCGAGGAGCAGCAGGACCUGACUUGGACUGGACUAAGCCUGGAUAUGUGAUGGCGUCAGUCCACCUGCCGCCGCCCCCCCCAGUGCUCCAGCACUGAGGCUGUGAACAGGACUUAAACAUUAGUUUAAGUCCUGUCAGCAGAGGACAGCACUGAGCUGCUUUGACUAACACUAGUCUUCUCUGAGGAGCAGCAGGACCUGACUGGACUAAGCCUGGAUAUGUGAUGGCGUCAGUCCACCUGCCGGCCCCCCAUGGUCCAGCACUGAGGCUGUGAACAGGACUUAAACAUUGGGUUUAAAUGUCCUAAAGGAAUUGCCUACCUUAUCUACAGGAGAUGAUUGUCCUGUAUAAACAACUGUGAAAUGUCUGAAUGUUUGUAUCGUGUACACAUAUUCAAAUAUAUGCUCUAGCAUCAA